rnacentral:rRNA from 1 species
GACGAACGCUGGCGGCGUGCCUAAUACAUGCAAGUAGAACGCAGUUGCGAACGGGUGAGUAACGCGUAGGUAACUGCCUGGUAGCGGGGGAUAACUAUUGGAAACGAUAGCUAAUACCGCAUACUACCAGAUGGACCUGCGUUGUAUUAGCUAGUUGGUGGGGUCACGGCUCACCAAGGCAACGAUACAUAGCCGACCUGAGAGGGUGGUCGGCUAAACUGGGAAUGAGACACGGCCCAGGCUCCUUCGGGAGGGAACAGUAGGGAAUCUUCGGAAAUGGACGGAAGUCUGACCGAGCAAAGCCGCGGGAGGGAAGAAGGUUUUCGGAUCGUAAAGCUCUGUUAUAAGGGGAGCGGUAUCUUACCAGAAAGGGACGGCUAACUACGUGACAGCCGCCGCGGUAAUUC